CCUGCUCAAAUCAAGGGCAAAUACAUUAAUUUCAAGAAAAUGUUACUUAUUUUUAGUUCUCUUUUUGCAGUGAAGUAGUAGUAACGCAGCGUAUCACUAACUUUACAAGAUAGCUCGCUCUCAGUUUCUAUCUUUACAUUUAUUUCUCCCGCUGACUGCUCAGUCGGGAAGUUUGAGGACCGCCUGGGCUGCAGCCUCCCCUUGUGGUAGAUAAGCGACAUGGCAGCUUAAUAUUAGCAUUGCACAAGCAGUGGAGGACAGUGCGAUUUUUAACAGGCAGAGAUGCUUACUGAGCUGAUGUAUGACGUACAGAGGAGGGCAAGAAAGGCAUAACACCUGGAGUCAGAUCUCCUCGUCGAUUCUCUUUUUGGCUCAAGCUAGCUUCAGCACUGCAGCACAGCUGGCUGCUACAGGAAGUUAGAAGUGGGGUUGCUUAUGAAUCAGGGGCAAACGAUCUUUUAACAAGUGUGCCUUUCUUCUAGGUGCUGCUGAUGACUUUGCAUGACUCUUGUAAUCAGCAGACACCAGUCGUCAACACAAGUUUGUCUGGUGAUGAGUCUUAAGUUGCCAUGUUGGAUACAAAAUGCCCCAGCAGUGAACUAAAGAAAUGUCUCCCGAAUGUGCUGUCAGGCUUCACAUCCCACGCAGAACUGCUGCAGGACUUCAGAUGCAGUAAGGUGUGGUGGACGGUUGCUCGUGUAAAGCCCAGAAGCAGGAGCUGAUGCAAAAUGAACCCCGGGGGAGCUGGGGCUUGUGUUCAACGGCUAUUAGGCGAGAGGCGGGAUACACCCUGGAAAGGUCGCCAGUCCAUCACUGUUCCAACACAGAGACGCACAGAGGACAAACAACCCUGAACACUCACACCUAAGUGCAAUUUUAAAAGUUUUUGGACCAUGGGAGGAAGCUGCAGUACCAGGAAAGAACCCACACAUGCACAGGGAGAACAUGCAAACUCCAUGCAGAGAUUCAAACCGGGACUUCUUGCUGCAAGGCUACCAACUGUGUCACCAUGCAGCCCUACUACUACCAGCAUAUUUCACCAGGAUUUAGAGGGUUUAUGCUGUAAUAUAGAAAUGGUCACCAAUUGUUUAAAAAAUAGCAUACUGGUUGCAUCAUGAUGUGUAAUUUAUUUUUCAAUUUUUUAUUUUAUUUUUAACGUGUCCUGUCUGGCAGUGUAUCACUAAUAAUCGCUUUCUUGGUGCCAAAGAGAGCCCAACAGAUUUACUUUCAUAAGUGGAGCAUUACUGCUUUGAUGUGCAAUUUAAACAGCUGAAACCAAACACUUACACUAAUAUCAUUAAAGGAAGCAUUAGUUUUUUCUCAGAUUACACCUUUGGAAAAGUGCAGAUAAUGAUGAUGCGCUGGAUUUAUAAAUCUGAGUUAUUUGGGGAACGCUAGCAAACAAACAAUGCACAUUCAUUGGAAAAUCAAAAGGACGGAAAGGAAGUUUUUUGACCAAUCUGUAUAAUAUGAUUGAAUUUGAUUUUGGAAAGUGCCUUGAGA